UGACAUGCUAAGAUGAGGUGAAUUAGCAGUGCCUACCAAUAACUGAUGGUGUCAUUCAGGACACAACACAUCCAGGAUUAUCAGGGGUGGAUGAUGGUGGAAUGGCCAUGCCCCUCCUGAUCUCACCUAGACUCAGCCAGCCUGUCAUUAGCAGCUCCACUUGAGAGGAAUACCAACAGGCACAGACACACCGAGUGAGCAACAAGCAGCAACAACAACAACCACAGGCAGUGUUUCCGCCCAUGUCACCUUUCCACCACUUCAAAAACACCUGGAUGCCGCUGCUGCUGGGAGGAAAAGCAGCGCCUACCUGUUAAUUCUGGAAAAACCUGAUCAAAAAAAUAACAUCUCUGAUGGGGAAAUCAUCAUCUGUCACAGAGAAUAUUUCGGGGCCAGACUGUUUCCCUCAUCCCCACUCCGAGUCCCACACAUGGCUGUCAGAGGAAGUUGUGAGCCCUCCAUGCUGCUGGUGGAUGACUCCGCUUGUUAAAAAAGAGGCAGAAAGCAUGGCAGGAGCUCAAGCUGGACACCGCAUCAGCUCCACACCGUAUGGCAGGCCAUGUGGCAGCAAGCUAGUGGGAUUUUCAAGCAAAGCGCCAGACACCAAAUGACAUAUAGAAGAUGUUGGUGAAUUAUACCAUUGCUUGCAUGAAGUUGCAGCUCCCCACCUUUUCUUCUUUGUGACCUUCUAAUAACUCAUGGCAAAGGAAUUUUAUUUAUUUGACUCUAGAUUGUUUUAAAUAAUGAACCCCGAAUACCUCAUCUGGAUGCAGAACAGAUUAUUAACAAAGACAGUUUGCAAGUCUGUUUCCGAUUAAAUUCUUCAUCCAUUCCCAGUUGUGGUUUAACCACAUUUCUCUGUCCUCAGGAAGGAGCUGCUUGUCUUUGGGUUAUAUUGCACCAGUUCCUGUGGCAUGAUGGCUGCCAGGGAGGGGGUCACUGUAAUCUGGCAGCACCAUCUGUGGCUGUCAUCUGAAGCUGCCACUUAGAGAACCUAACACAGUCCCCAUGUCAUCACUCGCCACCAGCUCAACCUUCCCUCGUCUCCCUCCAGUAGGAUAUGCAACACCUCAGAAAACUCUGAAAUAUAAGGGAAAUUAUUAGCUGUGUUGAAAUGUGGUUUAAGAAAACUGAUGUCAUGUCAUCAUAUUUGUUUUUUUCACCAAGAUGAAAAGUGAAAUCUUGUACAUAUUUCAGCCUAAAAUGGAACACAGAUGCUGCAGAGUACUUAACUUUUUCCCUGAAAUACUCAAGAUGAUGUCCGUGUAAAUGGUAAAUGUACACUAGAUGGAGCCAAACGCCAGGACAAUGAAAUUAAUAACUAGCAGUUCUUUCUUUAAUCUCGAUGUAGAAAGAAAUACACGUAUGAGUGCUAAUGAUGUGAAAUUAUGCAGUAAAUCAUCCAGUAGCAACGCAUUGGAUGAUUGAAGUUAAAGAAUUUUUCUUUAAAUUCUCUGAUUUAAAGAAAACAGAGAAUACACCAAAAUCACCAAGGUAAACGUGACCAUGGGCCACAAAACUUUAAAAAUGGAAAACUAUUUUACUAGAAAUUUUCCCAGAAAAAUCCAACAAGAUAAACCAUCUGUAAAUUCUUGUAGCUGUAUAACAAAAAAUAAAUAAAAAUUACUCCCACAUUUGCUUUAUUUAAAGAAACUUAUUGAAUUUCCAGAAGUGUUUUUUGAAUCAGUUGUUUUAUUUCUACUGUUUCAAAAAAAAAUUUCUGUCUAUUCCCAGCAACAACAAAAGGAUAUGGGUCACUUUUUCUUCUAAAGUGUUUGUUGUGUUUUGCUGAGGUUAAUUAACUGGA